rnacentral:rRNA from 1 species
ACGGGGUGCAGCAGGCGCGAAAACUUUGCAAUACACGAAAGUGUGACAGGGCUAUCCCGAGUGCCAUCCGCUGAGGAAGGCUUUUACCCAGUCUAGAAAGCUGGGGGAAUAAGGAGAGGGCAAGUCUGGUGUCAGCCGCCGCGGUAAUACCAGCUCUCCGAGUGGUGUGGAUGUUUAUUGGGCCUAAAGCAUCCGUAGCUGGCUGAGUUAGUCCCCUGUUAAAUCCACCGAAUUAAUCGUUGGAGUGCGGGGGAUACUGCUCGGCUAGGGGACGAGAGAGGCCGACGGUAUUUUCGGGGUAGGGGUGAAAUCCUAUAAUCCCGGGAAGACCACCAGUGGCGAAGGCUGUCGGCUAGAACGCGCCCGACGGUGAGGGAUGAAAGCUGGGGGAGCGAACCGGAUUAGAUACCCGGGUAGUCCCAGCUGUAAACGAUGCAGGCUAGGUGUUUGGGCGGCCACGUGCCGCUCUAGUGCCGCAGGGAAGCUGUUAAGCCUGCCGCCUGGGGAGUACGGCCGCAAGGCUGAAACUUAAAGGAAUUGGCGGGGGAG